UAGGAUUGUGAUACAUUUGAAAGUAAACCAGAAAAGCAAACCUUCUGUUACAGCUAAUCCUGUUAAAUUAUAAAACAUUUAUAGUUUGAUAUUUAGUUGUGGAAUACUUGGGAACCUUUCUUUUUCAUACCCAUGGAAGAUUGUGAUGAGAUUCCCAAAUUGUUAUAAACUUCCCAGGAAUAUUAAUUUGGUUACUGCAAGCAACAAAAAAUGCUGGCUUUGGUGUGAUGUUAGUUUGAUUCAGUUCAACUGUGCUAAGCAAAUUACAGACCUUGCGUGGAGCUACUGUUAUGAUACUGAAAUGCUUUUAUAGCGUACAAUAACCUCUCAGUUCAGCACCCUCAAAUGCCUUUCUGUAUUUCUUUUGCAAAUAACACAUUACAAAUUUAGCUCAUCAUGAGUCUUAAGAAGGCCCUCCACCUUUGAUUUCUACCUGGCUGCAAUUCCCUUUGCUCAGCUGAUGCCAGAGAACCUAAUCUAAGCAACCCGGAUUCAAUAUGAGGCUGAGUAUUGCUUUUUCAAUAUCACUAGUUUGUCCUGCGGCCGCAAACUAAGUUUCCUUGGUAAAAAGCCCUGCUAAUUUCAGUUGACCUUACUCCCAAGUCACUAUGUGAAGGAUAAGGAUGAAUGCUGAAUAUUGUGACCAGGUUGUUGAGUGGAAUAUCUGGAUGUGCACAUAUUACACCUGAAGUGAGGGAACAGCAUGGGCUUGCCAGUCAGCACCAGGCCAUGUUCAAGGUUUUGUUGCUUGCUUCUAUAUUCUUUACUCACUAGUUUUAUUGGCUUUAGGUUGUAUUUGCAUUUUUGUGAAAAUUGUUUUCAAAUCAACAAUGCAAUCCUAUGCAUGUCCAAUGAAAGUAAGCCCUGCUGAGCCCAAUGAGACUCAUUCCAAAUUAAACUUGAUGAUGAAUCUGUGAAAUUAUUUGGUGAAACAAAGGUUGGUGGGGCAUUCCUGAAACAUUCUCCUCAAAUUACAGGGUCAAUUUUAUGAACUUCUGGUUAAAUCACUGUUUCUUACCAGCUGUAAAGGUAAAGGUAACCCUGACUGUUAAGUCCAGUCUCAGACGACUCUGGGGUUGUGGCGCUCAUCUCGCUCUAUAGGCCGAGGGAGCAGGCGUUUGUCUGCAGACAGCUUCCGGGUCAUUUGGCCAGCAUGACUAAGCCACUUCUGGCGAACCAGAGCAGCGCACGGAAAUGCUGUUUACCUUCCCACUGGAGCGGUACCUAUUUAUCUACUUGCACUUUGACAUGCUUUCGAACUGCUAGGUUGGCAGGAGCAAUGGGAGCUCACCCCGUCGCGGGGACUUGAACUGCCGACCUUCUGAUUGGCAAGCCCUAGGCUCUGUGGUUUAGACCACAGUGUAGUUUUCACUUACUUUGUUUUAAAGAAUGAAUUGAAUUGGGGGGGGGGUAGUUCCUUAACAGAAUUAUGGAAACACUGGCUUAUCACAUUCCAGGUUCUUAGAUAACUUCUAAGAAACAAAAGUAUUUGAUAGCAGUUUUACACAGUAAUCUAAUGAGAACUGCAACUAGCACGGGGGCGGGGGAAUGUAGGAAUUCAUUCCUUUUUUUGAAAUGUACAACUUUGUCUCACGAUAAUCUAAAGUACAUUUGAAAAACUCCAGAAUCUUGCAAAGUGGGGAAUAGCUUUGCUACAUAUAUCAUAAUAUGAAUGAGCUGCUGAAGAGUGUGUACCAGGGGAAAGAUUUCCUGGGAACAGUGCCCAGACCUGUGGCACGAAACAGUACAUUUUUAAACACAAAAGGGGUGGGAAUAGGGCUUGAUGAUUACUGUGUUAGCCUGCACUCAGAUUGAACUGUAGGUAAUCAUAAGCUGGAAUGAAAUUCAUGUUUACACACUUUCAGAGCACACUGCCAUUUAAAACUCUGAAUAUAGUGCACUUUCCCCCUUAAGGGAACCGUGCAUAUAUUGUAUGCUUUUGUUUGCUUAUACAUAUGACUCUUUUCUCACAUUCAUCAGUCUAACUCCAAGUUCUCCCAUUGAUUUCAGAACCAGUAUGACAGGCAUUUGAGCAUAUACGUUUCGAGGCAUCAUUGCUUGCAUUCCACACUUGUGGAGAAAGUGGGUAGAGAAUUUAUUUCCUAUCCGUCUCCUAACAUGAGAAAUUGCGGGCAUCCAGUGAAGUUGAACAAAUAUAGAAAGUACUACUUCACACAGCACAUAACUAAACUUUGAAGUUCAUACCCACCAGAGGCAGUGAUGGCCGCCAACUUAGAUGGUUUGAAAUGAGUCUGCUAUCAGUGGCUAUGUUCCACCUCUGCUGUCGGAAAGAGCCGGCUUCUGAAUGUCAGCUUCUGGAAACUGCGGGAGAGGAGAGGGCUCUUUUGCUGAAAUCCUGCUUCCGGGUUUUCUGUAGGCAUCAGGGCUGGCCACUGAGAAGAGGAUGCUGGACACAAUGGGCUAUUGGCCUGACCCUGCAGGCUCUUCUUAUGUCCUUGUGAGGUGGAGUGGAAACCUCUUUCUACACCAUGCAUAAUUGUAUAUAUACUUUUAUCACUUCACCUCUUACUCACCUUUCCCCUAAACAAAGAAGCCCCAAAUGCCAUAGCCUUUCCUCAUAGGGGAGUUGCUCCAUCCCCUUUGUGGAGCAAUUCCCCCUUUUCAAGUGCCAGGCAAAGAAGACAAUACUGGGCCAGUUGGAUCAAUGCAUUGAUUCAUAAUAAGGCAGUGUCAUAUCGUCGUGUGCUUGUAUUAUGAUAUUAAUUAGGGUUAAUUAAGGUCGCUCCUUAGCACCUGUCUGGACACGGGGCUGUGCUUUGGAGUGGCCUGAGGCACUAAGAGAGUGUGCAGCUGCAUUGCUUCCCUGCCAUUCUCUCUACCAUAAAAAACCCCCAAAACACUACUUUGAUUUGGGUUCCCAGGUAGUACAAUGUUUAUUCUAGGUUGCUUGAAAAGGAGCUGUGGUGCAAAGUGUUUUGCAUUGGAUCUUGGAAUGUUCAAAUACCAGCAACAUUGAUUAGGAAACCCUGGAGAAUGGAAUAAUUACCUUCAGGUGAGCCCCAAAAAGAGAGUUCCAGCUUCCUUUUACAGUGGUACCUCAGGUUAAGUACUUAAUUUGUUCCGGAGGUCCGUUCUUAACCUGAAACUGUUCUUAACCUGAAGCACCACUUUAGCUAAUGGGGCCUCCUGCUGCCACCGUGCCGCCAGAGCACAAUUUCUGUUCUCAUCCUGAAGCAAAGUUCUUAACCUGAAGCACUAUUUCUGGAUUAGCGUAGUCUGUAACCUGAAGCGUCUGUAACCUGAAGCGUCUGUAACCCAAGGUACUACUGUACUGGCCUACAUACUGUGCUUCAAAGGCAGCACACUGUGCUUUAAAGGCAGCACAAAUGCCUAUCAACAUAGGUAUUUAGCAUAGGAGCAAGAUGAGUAAAAAAAAAGGUGGCAGCUCUAUGGGUCAUGACUGACAGGUGGAGGCCCUACCCACCUGUCAAAACGCCCCAUUGGAAGGGGGAGUUGGGGGUGGUCAGGGUUCAGCUGUCUUGAUCCUGCUCUCCACCCCUGAUUCAGCAGCUGAAGUUUUUCUCAAUAAUUUUGUCCUUAUCCUGAGAAAGGCUUCCUUUACGUCUCACCUCACAGUUAAAAAGGUAAAGGACCCCUGACAGAAGUCCAGUCAUGAACAACUCUGGGGGUGUGGUGUUCAUCUCGCUUUACUGGCCAAGGGAGCUGACGUUUGUCCGCAGACAGUUUUUCUGGGUCAUGUGGGCAGCAUGACUAAGCCACUUCUGGCGAAACCAGAGCAGUGCAUGGAAAUGCACAAAAGCAGAGUGAUUAAGAUGGUUGACAGCCACUGUCCUGAGAUUUUAAAGCAGGGAGAGAAAAGAGUCAGCUUCUUGCAUGAAAAUGCUCAGAUAAAACAAGAGAAGACGUAGCUGUUAGUAUUUCACACCUCCAAUGCUACUGCAGAUGAGAUGCACCUUUUCCAGCCUGUUUUUGCUGGGUCUUUUUCUCCAUCUUUCUCUCUCACCUGCAGUAGUAGGAACUGGAAAAUCCCAUUCAGCACUAUUGGGGGAAGAGAGGAGUACAGAUGAGCGAGGCAGGAAUCUCCGGCAUCUCAGCAAUGUGAUUAAAAACAGACACACACUUUUGAGGGUUGCAACCAGUGUGAGAAUUGG